CGAGCGAACUGAUUAGAAGCUUGCUUCUAUGACGUUAGCGGCGGACGGGUGAGUAACACGUGGGCAACCUGCCUGUAAGACUGGGAUAACUUCGGGAAACCGAAGCUAAUACCGGAUAGGAUCUUCUCCUUCAUGGGAGAUGAUUGAAAGAUGGUUUCGGCUAUCACUUACAGAUGGGCCCGCGGUGCAUUAGCUAGUUGGUGAGGUAACGGCUCACCAAGGCAACGAUGCAUAGCCGACCUGAGAGGGUGAUCGGCCACACUGGGACUGAGACACGGCCCAGACUCCUACGGGAGGCAGCAGUAGGGAAUCUUCCGCAAUGGACGAAAGUCUGACGGAGCAACGCCGCGUGAGUGAUGAAGGCUUUCGGGUCGUAAAACUCUGUUGUUAGGGAAGAACAAGUACGAGAGUAACUGCUCGUACCUUGACGGUACCUAACCAGAAAGCCACGGCUAACUACGUGCCAGCAGCCGCGGUAAUACGUAGGUGGCAAGCGUUAUCCGGAAUUAUUGGGCGUAAAGCGCGCGCAGGCGGUUUCUUAAGUCUGAUGUGAAAGCCCACGGCUCAACCGUGGAGGGUCAUUGGAAACUGGGGAACUUGAGUGCAGAAGAGAAAAGCGGAAUUCCACGUGUAGCGGUGAAAUGCGUAGAGAUGUGGAGGAACACCAGUGGCGAAGGCGGCUUUUUGGUCUGUAACUGACGCUGAGGCGCGAAAGCGUGGGGGAGCAAACAGGAUUAGAUACCCUGGUAGUCCACGCCGUAAACGAUGAGUGCUAAGUGUUAGAGGGUUUCCGCCCUUUAGUGCUGCAGCUAACGCAUUAAGCACUCCGCCUGGGGAGUACGGUCGCAAGACUGAAACU
rnacentral:rRNA from 2 species